rnacentral:rRNA from 1 species
UACGUAGGGGGCAAGCGUUAUCCGGAUUUACUGGGUGUAAAGGGAGCGUAGACGGUAAGGCAAGUCAGAUGUGAAAGCCCGGGGCUCAACCGCGGGACUGCAUUUGAAACUGUCCUACUGGAGUGCAGGAGAGGCAAGCGGAAUUCCUAGUGUAGCGGUGAAAUGCGUAGAUAUUAGGAGGAACACCAGUGGCGAAGGCGGCUUGCUGGACUGUAACUGACGUUGAGGCUCGAAAGCGUGGGGAGCAA